AUUGAACGCUGGCGGCAGGCUUAACACAUGCAAGUCGAGCGAGCGGCGGACUGGUGAGUAAUGUCUGGGAAACUGCCUGAUGUAGGGGUAUAACUACUGGAAACAGUAGCUACUACCGCAUACCGUCCUAUGGUCCCAGAUGGGAUUAGCUAGUGGGUAGGGUAAAGGCCUACCUAGGCGACGAUCCCUAGCUGGUCUGAGAGGAUGACCGGCCACACUGGAACUGAGACACGGUCCAGACUCCGACGGGAGGCAGAAGUGGGGAAUAUUGCACAAUGGGCGCAAGCCUGAUGCAGCAAUGCCGCGUGAGUGAAGAAGGACUUCGGGUUGUAAAGCACUGUCAGCGGGGAGGCGUUACUCGCAGAAGAAGCACCGGCUAACUCCGUGCCAGCAGCCGCGGUAAUAC
rnacentral:rRNA from 1 species